CCUACGGGAGGCAGCAGUGAGGAAUAUUGGACAAUGGGCGGGAGCCUGAACCAGCCAAGUCGCGUGAGGGACGACGGUCCUAUGGAUUGUAAACCUCUUUUGUCGGGGAACAAAGGCGCCCACGGGUGGGCGGAUGAGUGUACCCGAACAAAAAGCAUCGGCAAACUCGGGGCCAGCAGCCGCGGUAAUACGGAGGAUGCGAGCGUUAUCCGGAUUUAUUGGGUUUAAAGGGUGCGUAGGCGGACAGUCAAGUCAGCGGUAAAAAUGCGGUGCUAAACGCCGUACAGCCGUUGAAACUGGGAGUCUUGAGUGGACGAGAGGUAAGCGGAAUGCGUGGUGUAGCGGUGAAAUGCAUAGAUAUCACGCAGAACACCGAUUGCGAAGGCAGCAUACCGGCGCCCUACUGACGCUGAGGCACGAAAGCGUGGGUAUCGAACAGGAUUAGAUACCCUUGUAGUC
rnacentral:rRNA from 1 species